UGAAUACGAGAUGCUACGGCGUCGAAGCAGUCUAUGUCAUACUUCCAAGAAAAGCUUGCACUGUCAUAAACAAAUAAUGCCUGUACCAUAACCGACACAGGUGGGUAGGUAGAGUAUACUAAGGGGCGCGAGAUAACUCUCUCUAAGGAACUCGGCAAAAUGACUCCGUAACUUCGGGAGAAGGAGUGCCUUAUUUAUAAGGUUGCAAUAACAAGAUCCAAGCAACUGUUUACCAAAAACACAGGUCUCCGCUAAGUCGUAAGACGAUGUAUGGGGGCUGACGCCUGCCCAGUGCCAGAAGGUUAAAGAAGUUGGUUAGCAUCCGCGAAGCUGAUAACUGAAGCCCUGGUGAACGGCGGCCGUAACAAUAACGGUCCUAAGGUAGCGAAAUUCCUUGUCGGGUAAGUUCCGACCCGCACGAAAGGCGUAAUGAUUUGGAUACUGUCUCGGAGAGGGGCUCGGUGAAAUAGACUUGUCUGUGAGGAUGCGGACUACCUGCACCAGGACAGAAAGACCCUAUGAAGCUUUACUGUAACCUGAAAUUGAAAUGGACUUUACUUGCGCAGUAUAGGUGGGAGGCGUUGAGAAUAUUCUUGCGGGAUUAUUGGAGCCAUCAGUGAGAUACCACUCUUGUAAUGUUAGAUUUCUAACUUUGUAUCAUUAUCUGGUCAAGGAACAGUUUCAGGCGGCAGUUUGACUGGGGCGGUCGCCUCCUAAACGGUAACGGAGGCGCACAAAGGUUUCCUCUGAACGGGUAGAAAUCGUAUCUAGAGUGUAAAGGCAUAAGGAAGCUUGACUGUGAGACCUACAAGUCGAGCAGGGACGAAAGUCGGUCUUAGUGAUCUGACGGUGCUGAGUGGAAAGGCCGUCACUCAACGGAUAUAAGUUACUCUAGGAUAACAGGCUGAUCUCCCCCAAGAGUUCACAUCGACGGGGAGGUUUGGCACCUCGAUGUCGGCUCAUCGCAUCCUGGGGCGGUAGUACGUCCCAAGGGUUGGGCUGUUCGCCCAUGAAAGCGGUACGCGAGCUGGGUUCAGAACGUCGUGAGACAGUUCGGUCCAUAUCCGGUGUAGGCGUUAGAAUAUUGAGAGGAGCCCUCUUUAGUACGAGAGGACCGAGAAGGACAUACCUCUGGUGUACCAGUUAUCGUGCCAACGGUAAACGCUGGGUAGCUAUGUGUGGAGUGGAUAACCGCUGAAAGCAUCUAAGUGGGAAGCCCACCUCAAGAUAAGUAUUCUC
rnacentral:rRNA from 1 species